rnacentral:SRP_RNA from 2 species
GCUGGGCAUGGUGGUGCAUGCCUGUAAUCCCAGCUAUUUGGGAGGCUGAGGCAGGAGAAUUGCUUGAACCCAGGAGGCAGAGGUUGCAGUGAGCCAAGAUCACACCACUGCACUCCAGCCUGGGCAACAGAGCAAGACUCUGUCUCAA